UGACGUCACCCGGCCUCAGCUGAAUGUAAGCGCGGCUAAUAAACCGCGUGGGUGGUUUCCCAGCGUGCGCGCCUCUGCUGCCCUCAACUCCUGCAGAGGGUGAAUAGGUGAGGAGGAAGGGAAGUAGUCCAAGAAAACCAAAGGGAGAAGGACGAUUCAGUUAUUGGCGAUGGUGUCCUCAAUCCAGGUGCAAGGGGCUGGAUAGAAUGUGAUCUUCAUCACUCACGAAUUGUAGCACUGAGCAGCCGACACAACCCACUGUUCGGUGAUGAGAACACCUCCGCAGAAGUUCCCAGAAUUCAAGAACACUUGCUGACCGCUGGCAUCCAGAGGACACUGUGGGGGCACCGAAUAAUCAAUAAAGAGAAAUGGAGUAGCAGCCCAUAUUGUGAAGUUCUGUGACUGUAUUUACUACCCUCUGUCAUUUUUGCACCUACCUCCACCAGAGGUACUGUAUGUGCACCACGUGCCCAUGUGCCCCCCACCCGCACCCCCUGCCUGCUGCACCCACCACAGUGUUCAGCACUGCCAAGCGCAGCGGCAUCACCAGAAUGAACACUUUGGAGAUCCGAAAUUGAAAAUUUUCAGCAUUAAGGAAAACAUGAAUUAACACCACCCACCUGUUAGAAGCAAAUUGUUUUCAUUAAAUAGGACUUUGUUUUUGUACCUUUUUCUAUUUUCCUAUUUUUCUAUUAAUUUAACAAACUCUGAAAUUUUCUUUAAUUGACUUAUUAUCUACUUUUUUUAAAAUAAUGCCUUUAUGAUAGAAAAAUAUUGUAAUUG